UCCCUCCAAGAUUUUUUUGAGUGUCAUUGAAAUAAUGUAGUGUAAUUGUUGCUACAUUUCAGCAACAAUUUAAGUAUAAAACAACAUCAAAUUCAAGGUUAAAUCAGACAAGUUUGAACAUUCCAUAGAAGUCUACCAACUUCAGAAACAAGAAAUACUCCACAGAUGCAAUUCAUUAGUUGUACAAACAUACAUGAGAUAAACAGUCAAAUUUUAAUGGUAUAGGACAUAUUCUCUAAGCAAUGAUAUUUCACACAUCCCAUGUAUUCCAUUAUGAUCUUUUCAGCGUGGCUAUCAAUCAAGAUUCUCAAUAACACUCCUAUACAAAAAUUAAUCUGCAGAUUAAAGAGACUUCAACAACAAAACAGAAGAACAGAACAAAUAGAAAGGUGUACAUGACACAUCAAUUUAUAAGUAAUUGAGAGUUGGGGAUGGGAAGUUUUGAAAAUACAGCGAGUCCGAAGUUUUUGAGUUCAAAUAACUCAUUUGAAUCCUAAGGCUAUAUACAAUGUCAUCUUUUGAUAUUUCACUGUGUUUGCAAGAAAACAAGAAUAGAGAAUGGGGAUCAGUAACAUUGAGAAGAUGAUAUGUUCCAUAUGUACAUGGGAUGUUUGGAGGAUAUUUGAGCCAAAUUUGGCACUUAGCCCCCUUGGCCAAUCUAUCAGAUUUCACAAAAGACUAUUUUAUAUCCAUUUGGAUUUUCUUUGGUAAAAGACACUUACAUAUGAACAAACCGUCCUCUAAAUCUACACCCGAAUUUGAAUACCGACAUGAAUGUUGGUGUGAAAUCCGAACAACAAAAGUGUCUAGUCAUAAAAAUAGAUGAAUGUAGUCAUUUCAAUAUCGAUUAAGCACAUUUAUUGCAAUUUAGCAAUCGCAUUUAUGAUUUAUUCAUAGAAGUGCAAAUUUACCUUCCUUUCCACGACUGUGACAUUACUCGUGAAGUUGUAGGUGACAUCUUGAUCAAUUGAAUCUUUGUUCCAGUGCAAUUCUUGUUUAUUAUCCUUGACAGGAAUGAAAAAAUCAACUAAUAAAACGUUCCCAAAAAGAUAAAUUGAAUCUUUAAGACCAAGCAUGCUCACAUUUACACAGGGUUAAGGCCCACAAACAAAAAUGGAACAAGAAAUCAUAAAAAGGCCUAUGCAUCAAGUGUGUGUAUAUAUAUAUAUGCACACACAUAUGUAACAAGAGUUGUAGGGUAUUAUCAUCAUAGUUAAGCAACCCACUCUAGCAAACAAAUUGAUAGUAAACACGAAUACCUAGUUUGAGCACAAAAGAGAUGAAUAGGUUUAAGGAAGAUGGAUACCCAACUUGAGCUUGAAAAAGAUUUGGGUAAAAAGUGUAAACGAAUCAUAUGCUUAAUACGGUGAUACCUGAGAAGAUGAAGAUAUUUAAGAGCGUGGUAUGUGUUGGGUUUUAUUUACCCUGAAUUUCUUACCAUAAAUAGGUUUUCCUUUUAGGAAAAGGUUUUGGAUUGGCUAGUCCUUUUCUUGUAGGAAAAGGUUUAGGACUCUAUAAAUAGAGGUUUGUUCCUUCUAACUUAAUCAGCAUUCACAAUGUAGUCUUAAGGGUUUUGAGAGUUUUGGUUAGAGGGAGAAUUUGUGGGUCACAAGCUUGAUACGUUAUCACUUGUGUGAACCUCCCAUGUAUUCCGAGUGAAUUGGUUGAGGUUAUUUCUCUCUAUAUUUUGUACUCUCAUAUUUAUAGUGGAUUGCUCAUCUUCUUUGUGGACGUCGGUCGAUUGACCGAACCACAUUAAAUCUGUCUCUUUUUGUAUAUUUUUCAUUUGUCUUCUUACUCAUGGUUUUUAGAGGUUUGCUUUGCUAGCUUCCGUGUUACACCUGCUUAUUUCGGUCCUAACAGUAUGAAAUUAAGGAAAUAUUACGUCUAUUGUUUGUUUGGAAUGUUAAAGAAGAAGAUCGAUGAUUCUAGAACAUGAUAUAUCAGUAUGAAAUUAUCAGAAUAACCUUGGUCGUCCUCCUCUUCAUAUUUCUAUCUAAUAGAAAUAGAAAUUAUUAUAUAUAAAAUGGUUUAUGAGCAUCAAAAAGCAAUUACAAACUUCAUAAAAAUUUAGGAUAUAAUCAAACUUCAUCUUAACAUUCUUAUUUUGUGCAAUUAAUAGCAACAUAAUUCUUAGAGAGAACUAACCAUGGUAAUUUUCUUAGUGCAAAGGAAUAUAUCAAAAAAUAAAUAAAUGAGCUCACAGAAUUUUGUGAGUGUAGGUUUGAAUGCAUGAGAUUUUUGCAGAGUGAACCGAAGAAGAUGAGCCCUCGUUCCAUUAGUCAUCAAUCCGAACAAUUCAAUUUCAAUCUCGGUCGAAAGGGCAUAAUCACUAUAGACCUAACAAUUGUCUAUCUUCUAUAGAAGGAAUCUUGAAAGAGUUAAACAGAGAGAAUACAGAGCUAGAUUACAAAGUAAUUGAAUACACAUUACCAUGUUUGUUAAGUCAUGGAUAGCCUAUUGUUGAUAAACUAUUUACUGGACCAGACAAUAAUUUAUUAUUUCUUAGAUAUAAAUCUGCAACUAUAUAAUUUAUUUUUGCAUAUAUGUGUGAGGACAACAUAAAUCUUUACAUCAUCAAUUAUAAAAAAAAAUUGAGGGAAAGAAUUAGACAGAAUAAUAACGAUGUCAAACCUAUAUUUUAGUGGUAAAAUUUAAAAGUUCGAAAAGAACUGGAAGAAAUUUGUUGCAAAAUUGAAAGAAGAACAUACCUGGAAUUCGUUGUUGUUGGAGUUGGAGUUGGAGCAAGAGAAAUGGAAGAACUGAUUCUUGUGUUGAAAAUAUUGCAUCUAUUUUGUGCUAAAGAGGAAGAUGGAGUGUUCUAGAAUUAUGGAGAGAAUGUAUUUGUCAGGUUAAAUUUAC
rnacentral:lncRNA from 1 species